AUUGAACGCUAGCGGGAUGCCUUACACAUGCAAGUCGAACGGAGUGGCGAACGGGUGAGUAAUGUAUAGGAACGUGCCCAGUAGCGGGGGAUAACGACGCGAAAGCGGAGCUAAUACCGCAUACUAUUGGAGCGGCCGAUAUCGGAUGAGCUAGUUGGGGGGGUAAGGGCUCACAAAGGCGACGAUCCGUAGCUGGUUUGAGAGGCCGACCAGCCACACUGGUACUGAGACACGGCCCAGACUCCUACGGGAGGCAGCAGUGGGGAAUAUGGGACAAUGGGGGAAACCCUGAUCCAGCCAUCCCGCGUGUGUGAUGAAGGCCUUCGGGUUGUAAAGCACUUUUAGCAGGAAAGCGGUACCUGCAGAAUAAGCACCGGCUAACUACGUGCCAGACGCCGCGGUAAUAC
rnacentral:rRNA from 1 species